UAAGGAAUAUUGGUCAAUGGACGCAAGUCUGAACCAGCCAUGCCGCGUGGAGGAUGAAGGUCCUCUGGAUUGUAAACUUCUUUUAUCUGGGACGAAACACUUCUUUUCUAAGAGGCCUGACGGUACCAGAUGAAUAAGCACCGGCUAACUCCGUGCCAGCAGCCGCGGUAAUACGGAGGGUGCAAGCGUUAUCCGGGUUCACUGGGUUUAAAGGGUGCGUAGGCGGACUAAUAAGUCAGUGGUGAAAGCCUGCAGCUUAACUGCAGAAUUGCCAUUGAUACUGUUAGUCUUGAGUACAGUUGAGGUAGGCGGAAUGUGUCAUGUAGCGGUGAAAUGCUUAGAUAUGACACAGAACACCGAUUGCGAAGGCAGCUUGCUAAGCUGUAACUGACGCUGAGGCACGAAAGCGUGGGGAGCAAACA
rnacentral:rRNA from 1 species